UACGUAGGGGGCAAGCGUUGUCCGGAAUUAUUGGGCGUAAAGAGCGCGUAGGCGGUCCGAUAAGUCGGCUGUGAAAGUCAAGGGCUCAACCCUUGGAAGCCGGCCGAUACUGUCGGACUAGAGUCCGGAAGAGGAGAGUGGAAUUCCCGGUGUAGCGGUGAAAUGCGCAGAUAUCGGGAAGAACACCCGUGGCGAAGGCGGCUCUCUGGGACGGUACUGACGCUGAGACGCGAAAGCGUGGGGAGCGAACAGG
rnacentral:rRNA from 1 species